CCUACGGGAGGCAGCAGUGGGGGAUAUUGCACAAUGGGGGGAACCCUGAUGCAGCGACGCCGCGUGGGUGAAGGAGCGUUUCGGCGCGUAAAGCCCUAUCGGCAGGGAAGAAGAUGACGGUACCUGACCAAGAAGCCCCGGCUAACUACGUGCCAGCAGCCGCGGUAAUACGUAGGGGGCAAGCGUUAUCCGGAUUUAUUGGGUUUAAAGGGUGCGUAGGCGGAGUGUCAAGUCAGCGGUAAAAUUUCGGGGCUCAACCCCGUCGUGCCGUUGAAACUGACGCCCUUGAGUGAGUGAGAAGUAAGCGGAAUGCGUGGUGUAGCGGUGAAAUGCAUAGAUAUCACGCAGAACGCCGAUUGCGAAGGCAGCUUACCGGCGCUCAACUGACGCUGAGGCACGAAAGUGCGGGUAUCGAACAGGAUUAGAUACCCCAGUAGUC
rnacentral:rRNA from 1 species